GCUUCCCUCUUUCUUCGUGCCUAAUACAUGCAAGUCGAGCGAACGGACGAGAAGCUUGCUUCUCUGAUGUUAGCGGCGGACGGGUGAGUAACACGUGGAUAACCUACCUAUAAGACUGGGAUAACUUCGGGAAACCGGAGCUAAUACCGGAUAAUAUUUUGAACCGCAUGGUUCAAAAGUGAAAGACGGUCUUGCUGUCACUUAUAGAUGGAUCCGCGCUGCAUUAGCUAGUUGGUAAGGUAACGGCUUACCAAGGCAACGAUGCAUAGCCGACCUGAGAGGGUGAUCGGCCACACUGUAACUGAGACACGGUCCAGACUCCUACGGGAGGCAGCAGUAGGGAAUCUUCCGCAAUGGGCGAAAGCCUGACGGAGCAACGCCGCGUGAGUGAUGAAGGUCUUCGGAUCGUAAAACUCUGUUAUUAGGGAAGAACAUAUGUGUAAGUAACUGUGCACAUCUUGACGGUACCUAAUCAGAAAGCCACGGCUAACUACGUG
rnacentral:rRNA from 1 species